rnacentral:rRNA from 1 species
CAAUAGCGUAUAUUAAAGUUGUUGCGGUAAAAAAGCUCGUAGUUGGAUUUCUGUUGAAGACGUCCGGUCCAUACCACGUAUGCGCAUCUGGCUCGGCUUCGGCAUCCUCUCGAAAGACGUUUCUGCGCUUGAUUGCGUGGAGCGGAUCUCGGGACUUUUACUUUGAGGAAAUUAGAGUGUUCACGGCAGGCUAUCGCCAGAAUACAUUAGCAUGGAAUAAUACUAUAGGAUCUCGGUUCUAUUUUGUUGGUUUCUAGAAUUGAGAUAAUGAUUAAUAGGGACAAUUGGGGGCAUUCGUAUCAACACGUUAGAGGUGAAAUUCUUGGAUUUAUGAAAGACUAACUUCUGCGAAAGCAUUUGCCAAGAAUGUUUUCAUUAAUCAAGAACGAAAGUUAGGGAUCGAAGACGAUUAGAUACCGUA